GGGGCCGGGGGAGGAGCGCGGUGUGAGGGAGCACAGGGAGGGAGAGACGUGAGGAGUCGUGGAAAAACACGGAUGGAUGCGUAGGGUGCAGCAAUGGGGCUGGAAGCGGCGGAGGGGCGGCCGCAGGACCACCUGUGGGACGGCAGCCCGCCCUCACGGAGCUGGGUGCUGAGGGAAACUUUGAAUUAAAAACUAAUAAUAAACCCACCGCAAGUAGCGGGGUGGUUCCCUGAAAAGUCAGGGUGGGGGUUGUGAGCUGGUUUUGUCGGGGGUCCCCUCUGGCCUCACUGUGGUUUAGGGAUUUAUAGGGAAAUAGGGAUGGGGAGGAGUUGGUUUGUGGAUUUGGAAUGGAAUAAGGAUGGGGAAGAGUUGGUUAAUGGAUUUAUAAGGGAACAGGGAUGGGGAAUAGUUAGGUCAAGGAUUUAUAGGGGAAUAGGGAUGGGUAACAGUUGGUUUAUGGGUUUAUAGUAGAAAAGGGAUAAGGAGGGGAUGGUUUAUGGAUUGAUAGGGGAAUAGGGAUGGGGAAUGGUUGAUUCGUGGAUUUAUAGUGAAAUAGGGAUGAGGACAGAUGGGUUCAUGGAUUUAUAGUGAAAUAGGGAAGAGGAAGGGUUGGUUUAUGGAUUUAUAAAGGAAUAGGCAUGAGGAAUGGGGAAUUGAUUUGUUGGGGAAUGGUGGAUUUAUUGGGGAAUAGGGAUGGCAAAUGGUUGGACUGUGGAUUUAUAGGGGAAUAGGGAUGGGGAAUGGUUGGAUUGUGGAUUUAUAGAGGAAUAAGGAUGGAGAACAGUUGGUUAAUGGAUCAGUCAGGGACUAGAGAUAGGGAAUGGUUGACAGUGAUGAUCUUUUAGGCUAAAAAGGCUUUUUUGCUGUGCCUUCAUGAAGAAGUGGGUAAAAUCUAGUUAUUUACACAGCAGAAGUUGGGCUUAUCCCUGUAACAGCCAACCCUUGCCCUCUGCUUUCCAUCUCCUGCCAGGGGCUUGGAAAUCUGAGGCUUGGGGGUGUGGUUGGGUCUUUCUGCAGUCCCACAACAAGAACAGUCUGGAGGAAAGGAUGGGAAUUUGGAAACGGGACACCCCCACUGCUCUUCUGGAUGGGACUGAUGGAAACACAGCUUCACACCUUGGGGGUGUGCAAGUGUUUGUGAUCAGAUAACACAAGAUCGGUGCUUAUAAAGAUGUUCAGGAGCUGAAACACUCACAAAUCUAAGGUUCUGAAAUCCUGCACGUUGGAACCACAGCUCUGUAACAUCAUUUAUUCCAAGAAGGAAAGAUAAACACUUCUGUCAUUCAGGUGAUUAAAGCAGGAUUAAAUCACUCAGCUGCAAAAACUGCUGCUUCUGCCUGGUUUUCUGCCACUGCUGGAGCUGAGGCUGCUCCUGCAUCCGUGUUCUAGAGGAGCAGCAAAGCUCCAGGGAGGGGGAAUGGGACAAAAAUCCUUUGUGAGGAGUAGCAGAAAGCCCUGUGUGUUUUGUGCUUUGCUGCAUCACGCUCUCAGGGCUCUCCUGGAAGGUGGAAAUGGAUGUUUGUGGCAUUUAGCAGCAUCAGGGGAAUUCAUCCUGCUCCAAUUUGCUGACGAGGGAAGAACAUGAGAGGAAAACAUGAGCUCCCUUCCAAAGCAUGUGCACUCCAUGCAUAGCAGUGCCCAUUUAGUACCUCCCCCAAAAUGGGAAUAAAAUACAUUAAUUUAUUGAUUUAUUGAAACAGGCUUUGAAAUCAAGUAGAUCUGAUUGCCUUCUCUCUCUAUUCCACUACAAAAAAACUCUGCUUAUUCUUCAUUUUGAGAGGUGUCUGGAGAUGCAGCCAAGCACCAAAACAGGACAGAGAUGUCCAUCAGGACAUGUUUUCAUAGAAAUCAUUGUCUGUGAUGACUUCACCCUCUCAUUUAGUCAUGGAAUAAUUUAAAUGUUCCUGUUGGUCAGCUCUCUGUGGAGACAAAAGACAGCAAAAGCUUGUGAGGCUUUAUCAAAACACUGGAGAGUAAUAUUUCUACACUUAUCAGACCUAUAUUUUAUAAGUCUUAAUAAAAAAAAAAAAGGUUCUUAAAUCUGCCCCUCUCCUUCCUUAAUACUUCUGGUUCAUCUCCUCACAGGUAACAGUUAAGUACCAGUUAUCUAAUUUUAAAUACUCCCCCACUAAAUCACUCUUUAGUGUGUCAGAAUCUAUUCUGAUCUUUGUGGGACAAGUAAUUAGAACACCUUUUCUAGCUGGAAAUUCUAGCUGAAAAUUGUCAUCCCUGUGAGAAUGAUUUCAUUUGAAGGUCAGGCUUUCUGCAGACCCACUUGUGCUGGAAGGAGACUCUGCCAAAUGAAGCCAGAAUUUUUAGGUGUUUACCAGCACAGGGAAGAAUUUAUUUUUCCAAGAUCUUUGUGAGAUACUGAACUAGAACAAAACAGUCAUCAGGCCAAGAAAAAAAGUCUGUGCUCUC